rnacentral:lncRNA from 1 species
AUGGCUGCCACUCCAAAGCACAGCCGGCGGACUCGCUGGUCAACAGCCACCGAAGCAUUGCAACCUGCCAUCUGGGGGCCAGCAGGGCAAAGCGGCGACCGCCUCGAUGGCACAGCCAGAAGAGCGGCACAGGAAAUAAGGCUGCCACCUUUCCCUGAAGAGCCGACGAACACCCCAGGACGGAGAGUGAGCACCAACGCCCCCCAGAUGCCACCACCACCCGUUGGGCCGUGCUCGCUCCCCGGUCCCCCGGCAGCUGUUUCCGUCUGUGAGCAGGGCAGCAGGUCCGCCCGUGCCGCGGAUGGCAGCGGCGGGGCGAAUCCCACCCGUGCAGCAGAGAGGGAGCGCACGCACUUGGCGGUACGCCGGUUCCCCCGCUCAGAGCCCGCUGCGAACACCGCUUGCGGGCGUUAUUCCUGCCUGCUCCCAAGCUGCACCUGGAAAGCAGGGACAAUAAGAGGCUCUCCGGGAGGAGGGAAUCUCGUCGGGAUUUUUCGGGGCGGCGGGAGCCCGGCCGGCAGCGGGCGGGCCGAUUUCCUUCCAGCAUUGUUUUAUUUCGAUUCCCGAACGGCGACGGGCUGCGCGCUCACAGCUCCGGCCUCUCCGCCGCCCCGGGGGCACCCCUGCCCCGGCCCCCGCCGAACUUCGCUCUGCCGGGAGGGGGCUCGGCGGGGGCUGACGUCACGCCGGGAAGCGGCGAGGGGGGGGGUCCCCGCCCCGGGACCCUACGGCGGGCCCGCUCCGAGGGCUGGACUGGGCAGGGCGGGCGGCCCCCCCCGGCGAUUUACGAUCGUUCCCGGCUCCCGCUCCCCGCUCGCGGGGAGAGGUUCGCCCCGGAGCCACCGCGACCCGGUCCCGGCCCCGCCCGCCGCGCCCGCACUAUGGAAGGCACCGCCGGGGGCCCUUCCUCACCGCCACGGGGGUUACCGCGUCCCGCCCGCGCCCCCCGCCCCGAUCCGACAGACGGACGUACGGACGGAGGGAGGGAGGAAGGGAGGGAGGGAAUCCCCGCGAGUGGGCGAAAAUGACAAGCGGCCGUGA